rnacentral:rRNA from 1 species
CCUACGGGUGGCAGCAGUGGGGAAUAUUGCACAAUGGGGGAAACCCUGAUGCAGCGACGCCGCGUGAGUGAAGAAGUAUCUCGGUACGUAAAGCUCUAUCAGCAGGGAAGAAAAUGACGGUACCUGACUAAGAAGCCCCGGCUAACUACGUGCCAGCAGCCGCGGUAAUACGUAGGGGCGAAGCGUUCUCCGGAUUUACUGGGUGUAAAGGGAGCGUAGACGGGAGUACAAGUCUGGAGUGAAAGCCCGGGGCGUAACCCUGGAACUGCGUUGGAAACUGUGCGGCUGGAGUGCAGGAGGGGUAAGCGGAAUUCCUAGUGUAGCGGUGAAAUGCGUAGAUAUUAGGAGGAACACCGGUGGCGAAGGCGGCUUACUGGACUGUAACUGACGUUGAGGCUCGAAAGCGUGGGGAGCAAACAGGAUUAGAUACCCUGGUAGUC